GCUGAGAUUAACCUUCGGUGCAUCAACUGCAACAUGUGAAAAUUCCUUCUCAACUCUGAAAAUGUGUUAAGUGAACACAGAAGGAGCAUGCUGCAUAAAAGAAAAGCCUGUCUCAUCCAGAUCGCUGUUGAGAAGGACCUUACCAAAAAGUUCACUGGAGAGUGGAAGGAGAGAUUGCUGAGAAGAUUCAACACAGCUUCCAGGAGGCUACAUAUCUUCUGAGGGAUCCUGUGCUCCCUGGUGGUUCCAGUGUGCCAAUAUCUUUGAAGCUCCUACAGGAAAAAUUGGACAACAUGAGAUCUUUUGAGAAAAUGGCUGCUACGUUACAUGUUAUUAAAAAUAUUGGGGUUUUUGGAUUUCCAUAACAAUUGGCGCUGCGAGCAGGGUCUCUGCAAGUUCGAUUGGGAACACCUCCGGACGCUGGUGGUGGCCGGCUCCAGGAUCCUCGGAUCUUCCUCUACCCCGACAGAAACCGUAUGGGACGAGAGGACCAGCGCCGGGGGUGGAACUGAUUGACUUCACGAGAUCAAACGGACUUAAAAAGGCUUUUCAAUACUGGGUGAGAUGUACAGUGUCUAAAUUGUUUAAAGU